rnacentral:rRNA from 1 species
AUUGAACGCUGGCGGCAUGCCUUACACAUGCAAGUCGAACGGCAGCACGGGAGCAAUCCUGGUGGCGAGUGGCGAACGGGUGAGUAAAGUAUCGGAACUUGCCCAGUCGUGGGGGAUAACGUAGCGAAAGUUACGCUAAUACCGCAUACGAUCUAUGGAUGAAAGAGGGGGAUCGCAAGACCUCUCGCGAUUGGAGCGGCCGAUAUCAGAUUAGGUAGUUGGUGGGGUAAAGGCUCACCAAGCCGACGAUCUGUAGCUGGUCUGAGAGGACGACCAGCAACACUGGGACUGAGACACGGCCCAGACUCCUACGGGAGGCAGCAGUGGGGAAUUUUGGACAAUGGGCGAAAGCCUGAUCCAGCCAUACCGCGUGCAGGAUGAAGGCCUUCGGGUUGUAAACUGCUUUUGUACGGAACGAAAAGGUUUGGCCUAAUAAGCUGAGCUCAUGACGGUACCGUAAGAAUAAGCACCGGCUAACUACGUGCCAGCCGCCGCAGUAA